rnacentral:tRNA from 1 species
UACAUUUUAGUGUAUGAAGCACGUGAAUUUUUGAUGUUCUCAGAAUUAGUUUAAUUCUAUUAAAUGUAG